UAGUAGAUGGCCUUUUUUAGUCGAACAAAGCUGGCGUUGGCAGAGACACCCAUUCCAUCAAGACUGUCAUGAACCUCCUUGAAAGCCUUGACAACAUUUUCCCUUACUCUAAGAACUGCAACCCGUAUCUUAGAGACAUCGAACCUAGUUUCCUUGGAGCUAUCAUGAAUGGUGCCAACAGUGGAUUAGGCAGUAAUGAGAAUAUCCUUGAUUUCAGAGAGCUGAUUCCCGAUAGAGCUAAUUUUCACAGUAAGGUUAGAGUCACUAAGGCUAGGAUGGGAAGCAUAGGGUUUGGGCUUGGAGUCUGUAUAAGCAGUCUGGACAUCACGUUGUUGUUUAUUAACCCAUGAACCCUUCACACAUAUAUCCCAUACUUGCAAAGUCUCUG
rnacentral:lncRNA from 1 species